rnacentral:rRNA from 1 species
GGCGUAAGGGCUCGCAGGCGGUUUCUUAAGUCUGAUGUGAAAGCCCCCGGCUCAACCGGGGAGGGUCAUUGGAAACUGGGAAACUUGAGUGCAGAAGAGGAGAGUGGAAUUCCACGUGUAGCGGUGAAAUGCGUAGAGAUGUGGAGGAACACCAGUGGCGAAGGCGACUCUCUGGUCUGUAACUGACGCUGAGGAGCGAAAGCGUGGGGAGCGAACAGGAUUAGAUACCCUGGUAGUCCACGCCGUAAACGAUGAGUGCUAAGUGUUAGGGGGUUUCCGCCCCUUAGUGCUGCAGCUAACGCAUUAAGCACUCCGCCUGGGGAGUACGGUCGCAAGACUGAAACUCAAAGGAAUUGACGGGGGCCCGCACAAGCGGUGGAGCAUGUGGUUUAAUUCGAAGCAACGCGAAGAACCUUACCAGGUCUUGACAUCCUCUGACAACCCUAGAGAUAGGGCUUUCCCUUCGGGGACAGAGUGACAGGUGGUGCAUGGUUGUCGUCAGCUCGUGUCGUGAGAUGUUGGGUUAAGUCCCGCAACGAGCGCAACCCUUGAUCUUAGUUGCCAGCAUUCAGUUGGGCACUCUAAGGUGACUGCCGGUGACAAACCGGAGGAAGGUGGGGAUGACGUCAAAUCAUCAUGCCCCUUAUGACCUGGGCUACACACGUGCUACAAUGGACAGAACAAAGGGCUGCAAGACCGCAAGGUUUAGCCAAUCCCAUAAAUCUGUUCUCAGUUCGGAUCGCAGUCUGCAACUCGACUGCGUGAAGCUGGAAUCGCUAGUAAUCGCGGAU